GGUCUUAUAGCUCAGUUGGUUAGAGCGCACCCCUGAUAAGGGUAGGUCAUAGGUUCGAAUCCUAUUAGGACCACUA
rnacentral:tRNA from 1 species